AAAAAAAAGAACCAAACAGAAAUCUACAUAUUGCUACAUACAAAACUUGAAGGUUGAAUACCACAAUCUCUUUGGAUGAUUUCAAAGGGAAAUUUAAACUUUUGCCGUUAAAAAAAAAUCCCUACAUAAAAAACUGAACAGUGACUAAUACAAUUUCAGCUGAAAUUAUUUCGUAUAAGAUGAAAUCCUGCAAAACAAACCCGACAAUUCACAAUAAAACAAACAACUAUCUACAGAGCAUUACAUAGACAGAAAAAAAAUUUACAACACGAUCCCGGCGAAAUAUAUGAAAUGAAAAAUGAAAGCACAUAAGUUGAUGGGCAACAGAAAAAUCACAAAAGACAUCAGAAAGACAAACAUCAAGCUAGAAAAUCACUACAUAAAAAUUAGAAGUGAACAACACGAUCCCAGUGUAACAUAUCAAAGAAAAAAUUCAAACUCAGGAAUUGAUGGAACCUUAAAAAUCACAAAACACAAUAUAAAGACAAACAUCAAUUGCAAUCUAAAAAUCAAAACUUAAAAAAUUGAACACGAAUCAACUAGAUCCAAAAGGAAGACACCAAAGGAGGAAUACAAACUCAUAAAUCUAAGAGAUGGAGCAAAUAAAUUAAAAGACAACGAAAAGCCAAACGCCAAUCGAAAAGUCGCGACAAAAAAAAAAAAACAGGGAACAACACGAUACCGAUGGUAUAAACCAAGAGAAAAUUGAAGCUCAUUAGUCGAUAAGAACAAGCCGAAAUACCGAGGGAAAACAAAGAGAUCACAUCAAUCUAUAAAUCACAACAUAAAAACUGAACACGGAACAACAAAUUUACAUAAAUCUUUUGUGAGGUGGGAAAUGGCACAUAUGAUAUUUCAUUUGUAUACGAAAAGGCAUGCAUAUAAGUCCUCCAUGAGGCACGAAAUGGCAUUCACUUCCACUUUUCAUGAGGUAAAAAUCAAAGCAGCAUACAUAUAGAUUAUUCAUGAGGUACAAAAUGACAUACAUUUACUAUACCAUUAGGUACGAAAUAAUCAUGGUAUGAAAUGAUUUUUGCAAAUACGAAAUGGUCGCUACGAAAUGAUUAGAAAUUACUAUAACACGAUCCCCUUCACUGGUUUCAAAGUGUUAAUGUCUUUUGAAAAGUUGAUAGCA
rnacentral:lncRNA from 1 species